UCCAGCUCCAAUAGCGUAUAUUAAAGUUGCUGCAGUUAAAAAGCUCGUAGUUGGAUUUGGGACUGGAGUCGCUCGGUCGACCGUGAGGUCUGUUACUGAGCGGCUCUGUCAUUACAUUUCUCAGAGACCUGUCGUGUACUUAACUGUGCGCGGCAUGGGAUUUGGGACGUUUACUUUGAAAAAAUUAGAGUGUUCAAAACAGGCUUUUCAAGCCCGAAUACAUGAGCAUGGAAUAAUGGAAUAGGACCGCGGUUCUAUUUUGUUGGUUUCUACGACCGCAGUAAUGAUUAAGAGGGACAAUUGGGGGCAUCCGUAUUUCGUUGUCAGAGGUGAAAUUCUUGGAUUUACGAAAGACGAACAACUGCGAAAGCAUUUGCCAAGAGUGUUUUCAUUAAUCAAGAACGAAAGUUAGAGGAUCGAAGACGAUCAGAUACCGUCCUAGUUCUAACCAUAAACGAUGUCGACUAGGGAUUGGCGGGCGUUAAUUAACACGACCCCGUCAGCACCUUACGGGAAACCAAAGUUUUUGGAUUCCGGGGGAAGUAUGGUUGCAAAACUGAAACUUAAAGGAAUUGACGGAAGGGCACCACCAGGAGUGGAGCCUGCGGCUUAAUUUGACUCAACACGGGAAAACUCACCAGGUCCAGACAUAGUAAGGAUUGACAGGUUGAGAGCCCUUUCUUGAUUCUAUGGGUGGUGGAGCUG
rnacentral:rRNA from 1 species